rnacentral:rRNA from 1 species
AACGAACGCUGGCGGCAUGCCUAACACAUGCAAGUCGAACGAGAUCUUCGGGUCUAGUGGCGCACGGGUGCGUAACGCGUGGGAAUCUGCCCUUUGGUUCGGAAUAACAGUUGGAAACGACUGCUAAUACCGGAUGAUGACGAAAGUCCAAAGAUUUAUCGCCAGAGGAUGAGCCCGCGUAGGAUUAGCUAGUUGGUGUGGUAAAGGCGAACCAAGGCGACGAUCCUUAGCUGGUCUGAGAGGAUGAUCAGCCACACUGGGACUGAGACACGGCCCAGACUCCUACGGGAGGCAGCAGUGGGGAAUAUUGGACAAUGGGCGAAAGCCUGAUCCAGCAACGCCGCGUGAGUGAUGAAGGCCUUAGGGUUGUAAAGCUCUUUUACCCGGGAUGAUAAUGACAGUACCGGGAGAAUAAGCUCCGGCUAACUCCGUGCCAGCCGCCGCCGUAAAAC